GUGGGCCGGGAGAUAUUUGAUCCAUGAUGCCGCGUGGUGAAGAAGGACUGCGGGAGAACCUCAUCAGGUGUGAGGAGAUGACGUAGUCCCUACCUGCUAUCCGUGACGUUAAUUGCCAACACCACCGGCUAACUCCGUGCCGGGCCCUCGGUAAUACUGAGGGUGCUAGCGUUAAUCGGAAUUACUGGGCGUAAAGCGCACGCAAGCGGUUUGUUAACCUAGAUGUGAAAGCCCCGGGCUCAACCUGGGAUGGUCAUUUAGAACUGGCAGACUAUAGUCUUGGAGAGGGGAGUGGAAUUCCAGGUGUAACGAUGAAAUGCUUAGAUAUCUGGAGGAACAUCAGUGGCGAACGCUACUCCCUGGCCAAUGACUGACCCUCAAGUAUUAAAUUGUGUGUUACUCACAGGAUUAAAUACCCUGGUAAUCCACUACGAACACGCUUGACACUAUCUGUGUGUGACCUUAAGCCUUGAGUAUCCCACCUGAGGAGUUCAGUAGACCGACUGGGGUUCAGGG
rnacentral:rRNA from 1 species